AUGAUGAAACAAUUACCCAGCUCGCUUCGAUAUUCCGUGAAGAGAACUGUUCCAAAUCCAACCAAAUUAAACAGCUGA
rnacentral:snoRNA from 2 species